rnacentral:ncRNA from 2 species
CCACUCCUCGCGGGAGAGACCGGGACCAUCUGGCCCCGGCGCCGAAGGCGCAACCGCCCCGGAAACGCUCAGGCAAAAGGACCGCGAAGGGCUG